rnacentral:misc_RNA from 1 species
GUAAUAUCUGCUUGAGAAGCUAAUCGGUACACACAAAAUAAUCCAAUGGAAGCAAAGAAAACGACAACAUGCCCAAUUCCGCCUUUCUUCACAAAGGAUGUUUAACAAAGAAGUAACUGAAAAUAAAAGGGCAUUUAAAUCCCAAACAUUGAUACAAUAAAUAAAGUCAUACCUCCUAUAUUAGAAACAGGUCCCCCUAAUCAGUCAACAAGAAUGAAGGGCCAUUAGCAGAAAUAUAAAUUCAACCCUUAAAAGGAUCUUUGACAGAUUAUAAUACACACAACGAUAACAUGAUCAGAGAGAAUCAUCUUGCUAAGAAGAGUUAUCAACGAAACAACCUACUGUACAGGUAAAUGUACAAGAAGAAAUUCUCUGAUACCUAAUACCCAGCAACUCACAAAGAGGUCUUCAAGACUUUCAAAACCAUCCAGUCCCAAAGCCUGUUGCUGCCUUAUGAGAAGACAAUUGGGUCUUCCACUAUCCAUUGAUGUUGCAGAUAGUCUCCAAGUCUUUACAACAAGAAACUAACUACUAUUCAUCAUCCAACUCAACGAGUUGAGCCCGCCUUUCCGCUGCUUUCUUCCUGAUAAAGAAACCCCACCUCAUAGCUGCCUUGAUCUUCAGCCACCCCACAACAGCCUUACCAGGACGUGUGCGAUCCUCAUCAAAGUUUGGCAUUGGUGAUGCCAUAUAAGGUGGGAAUGAAUACCCAUCUUCAGGUAUAUUUACAGAGGCAUGCCCUCCCAUGCUGAAGAGUCGGAGCAAGUGUUGCAUAUCUUCAUUCUCAAGCAUUUCGUUACUUCGGAUGCGAAUCUCCUCCUCUGUAAAGUAGUCAUCAACUCCCUUGUCCCUGUUGUUGGUCCAAUCAUCAAAAGGAUUGAGACUGGGUGGCUGCAUUGAAGAGCCAAGAACUUGAAACCCUGAGGUAGAUGACUGAGGAGGACCAAGGGCCAGGCCAACAACACUGUUAUCACUUCUCAUGCUUUGGGCCUGGUGAGAAUUGCUGAUUAAAGGCUCAUUUGACGUGAAUGAGGUGUUAUCAAAUUGGGCACGUGAAUUUGGAUUCAAAAGCUGGGACUGAGAUGAGAACCCUGAUCCCAUAUUUUCAUUAUAACCAGAUGCUCCAACUUGGAGGCCUGAAUGCACAGAAGCCUGAUCAGUAGGAACUGAAGCUGGUAGCCUAGGUAAUUGCAUUUGAUGGUCUAAAGCAUUAGGGUAACUAAUUUGGCCCAUCGGAAAUUCAUUUCGGAAAGCAUUUGACCUCUUAUUUUGCUUGAAGUUCAAAAGAGACUUGCCAUCAUAUUCCACAACCUGAUUCCAAUUCUCAUAUGCUUUCUUCACCAAUGUAUCCACAUAGACCUUUUGCUCAUCAGAAAGAGAAUCAGCUGGAAAAUAUUGUUCCCCUGAAAUAAGGCCAUUUAGUUCAUAGAUGUUGUUGAAAACAGCACCGACACUUCUUGAAUCUUCAGGAUAAUAGAUAUAAAGUUUCCCACCCAGAGCACAUGUCUUUGCAUGCUCCACAAGAGCUUCCCACAUUUUGUUUGACAUGCCAGACCCAAGAAUAUUUCGUAAUUUUUGAGCAUCCCUAACAUAAAGACGUAAGAAAUCUUCAACUGUAUGUAUUCCACUAUUAUUUAGUUUUUUAUGAAAGGAACCAUCUUUGCCAAUUUUCUCCAACCUCCAUACUUCAUCAUUCAAUGCAGGCGGAUAGUGUUUCUUGUAGACUGUCAACAGAGAACAAUAUGAAUUCAAUAUCUUCCUACAGGUAUUGAAAUAGAAAUAAAAAUAAUGCAGGGAAAGAACUUGCGUUCCCCUCUGUGAUCUUUAACAGUGAAAGCUUCAGUCUUUGCCUCCCGAAUUCGUAUGCCCUCACAAUAUCCAGAGGCAACCUUCAAGCCAAGCCUAAACUUCCUGCUCCUUAUCCAGCUUGAGUUGUCCGUAAAAGUGAGUUCCCCCAGCGUUCCUACCCCUUCCUUGAGGGUCACUUGUAGAUCCCCAGUCAACAGUGGUCUUUUUCCUUCACGCUCUUUUACAACAUGGCUUUCAAAUUCUUCCUGGUUCCAGUCUUCAUCAUCUUCAUUAUUGAAAUCACCUUCAAGCACAACAACGUCUAGCUUUACAGAGGCUUCAGGCCCAGAGGUUACAACAACGCCACUAUUAGCAUCAAGCAGAACAAUGUGGAUUGCAGCACCCUGCUCCCCCUCCACUUUUCCUCCAGUGAAAAGAGGAAGAGACAACCUGGACCUAAAUUGUAACUGCAAGUUUCCUCCAUCUGGACCUUCAAUACGUUUCGGGGAAGACCUUCCACUGAUUCUAGGAGGGCCCAACUUUGCUAAAGCACGUUCCACUUCCUCACUUACCUGUUUGGCAUAAAUUGCAAUGACACAAUAAAAAGAUAAAGAAAUUAAAUAUGUUAAUAUACAAAUGUACAAAGAAUGCCAAGAAAGGGAAAUGGUUUAUCUAAUAUGUUAUCAUAGACAAAAUAAAAUUUCCAAAAGCAAUCAAAUCCAUGUGACAUUAGUCUAUUCCCUUUCUUUCCCUGACAAUUAAUUACAUCCCAUAUCACAUCACUGCAUUUUGCUAUUGACAUUGUUAACUGUAACAUAGAUGGACUUAUGCACAUAUACCCAUAGACCAUAUACUUCUUAUUUUGGAAUCAGCUCUAUGUCUAUGGUUUAACGAUACAGGUGCACAAUCAUAACUGACAGGUAUAAGAGUGGGAGAAGAGUAAGAAAUCAGUCUCGGAACCAGAAUCUUUUGCAGUCACAGAAUCAGACUCAUUGAUUGGCACUAUCAUGAAAUUUUUCACAAAAUUGGCAAAAUGACUCAAAAAUCUAACAAUAUAUCAACAUAGUAAACAUCUGUAGGAACAUUUUAUUGAAUAAUAAAUCAUGACUUGCUUGCUUGGAAAGAGUGGAGGGAAGCACAGAAAAGGGAGGAGUAAAAAAAAUAAUAGUAAACCAUCAUGGGAUAGUUGGUCUUUCAGAGAACUUCACUCUCAGCCCUAAGCACCUGAUCCUUAGUGCAACUCCACAAAGGGAAACUCCUCAUUUACGCAUAUGGAUGUAACCUCUCUUGGUAAAAAUUUAGCUGACAGAAACAUUCAGCCUCAAGUACCUAGCAAAUGUGAUGAGAUGCCUAAUGCAUUUAAUCUCAGUUGUGAUUCCUCUGCUCCAAAUGACAGAUUCCUAGCAACUGUAACUCAAGCUGAUAAUCUAUUCCAAAUUCCCUAAAUUUGAAGCCAAAUGACCCAGAUCCUAAACUCAGACAUUAAUAUCCCAAAUUCCAAGUGGCUUCCCAGAAAUACAGCCUGUACAAUUCAUUUUGUAUCAGUUCAUGCAGAAAAAUGGUAGAGAAUCAAAAGUGAAACUCUUACAACUCUACGAAGAAUGGGUUCCAAAGAUGAGCAGAGCUUUUGCAGACUGUCCACCUUAAGAGCUUCUACAAUGACACUGCAUGAUGCAUAUCGAUUUGCAUUAAAAUAGAACUCCAUAGUAAUAUAGUUUAAUUUGAUAACUUACAUAAAACCAGUUUCCAACAAUCAACUGUUAGAACGAAUAAUAACCAUUUCUUUAAACAAAAGCAAGUCAUUCAGAGUAAUUUUAGCCUUAAAAAAAAGGAGAGACAUGAAAAGAAACAAAAACAGAACAAACACAAUCUGUAAAACAAAAACCUCAUUUCACAGACCUAUAAUAGUAAAACUAAGUAUUUGAAGAACAUUGAGAAAUCACAACUUUCUUGAGAUCACAGACCUAUAAUAAUAAAACUAAGUAUUUGAAGAACACUGAUAAAUCAAAACUUUCUUGAGAUAAAUUUAAUUGUGAUAGCAAUGAGCAAGCACAACUCUUUAGAUAGUAAAGGAGGAGAAAGAGGGAUAAUGAAGCAGCAGACCACACAACUAUGCUUUCUUGAACUUCUUAACUAAAAAUGCUAUUAACUUUGAGACACUUCCAAUAUGACUGCACUAUUUGUUGCACCUGUGCUAGGGACUCAUGAAAUGAUCCUCUUUCAUGCUUCCUUUAAUAGCAAAAGUGUAAAACAAUAAUAACAAAGGGAAGCAAGAGACCUUAUGCCAUCUUGGCCAUGAGCCCAUGAAAGACCUGAAAGGAUAAAGACAUAUCCAACCAGAUACAUUAAGUCCUUUGUCUUUGACAAGAAGAUAAUAUUUGAUAAUGUUAAUUUUAGAAUCCAACUACAAUCUUUUUUUCCUCAGAUCACCCAAGAAGACUAACUUUUUAAAGUAAAGGCCAGAAUGCAGUCAUUCUAGCUUCCAGGCACUUGAAAUUAUGCAACGGUCUAGUCUUGUCAAACCUACAUAAAAUAAAUAAAUAAUAUGUCCCAUAAAUUGCUGGUUGAUCAUCCCAAAUAUACUGCAAAACCACCAAAUGUAACACGCUGAAUCACAAUUAAGGCUUUUCUAAACCUAAAAAUAGAAAGUGUUAAAAAAUUUCCAACGAACCCACAUAUAGAAUACACUUGAACGACAAGUUUAAGCUUAGCAAGAGCAAACAGCUAUCAUCAAUAAUGGCAUAAGUCAAUAGAAAAGAAUAAAACCCAUUUUCCAAACCAUCAAAAGCUGAUCCCAUUAUCAAGUUUAAGAGAAGAGAACUCAACAAGCAGCAAGGUAAGAGUCAACGCAAUGCAAAAUAACACAACUCAAUUACCCAGCUGUCUACUGAAUAUCUACAACACCUUGAAACCAGAAUUCCCAC